UACAGGGGGUGCAAACGUUGCUCGGAAUCAUUGGGCGUAAAGCGCACGUAGGCGGUUCGUUAUGUCGGAUGUGAAAGCCCUUGGCUUAACCGAGGAAGUGCAUCCGAAACUGGCGAGCUAGAGUACGAAAGAGGAUCGCGGAAUUCCCGGUGUAGAGGUGGAAAUUCGUAGAUAUUCGGAGGAACACCAGUGGCGAAGGCGGCUCACUGGUCCAUUACUGACGCUGAGGUGCGAAG
rnacentral:rRNA from 1 species